rnacentral:misc_RNA from 1 species
ACCCCUACCUCCUCCGUCAGCACCGUCGCGUUCAUCUUCUGUUCAGCGUACAAUGGCCACGUCACCAUCGCUACUCCGUUCACUAUUCCCUCUAACGACGAGUUCCAUCCACAGUGCGUCACAAAUCCUCUCACCGAUCUGUGACUCAAAAUCUCCGCCUGUGGUGCCCACAUCGGAACUACUAAACCCACCUCUUUCGUCCUUUCUAUGAACCCUUCCGGCAAGUAGUGAGGCGGCGAAUCGUCUGCCGAUCCGGUUCCCGCCGUGAAAAAUGCUCCGACGGAAUCGGUCCCUGAUGGCGGCCGUAUCACCCAAACAAACCUCUGCUGACUCAGCUCUAACCCCCACGCCAAUUCCGUGAUUUGUUCUGCACACAACGUCCCUCCACUCCCAAAAGACACGUAUAUCACUGAUUCAUCCGGUUGCCGGUCGAGCCACUUCAGCACGUCACUCUCCAAAUUGGGCUCGCUUUGUCUAGUCAACGGCCCAAUUGGAUAAAUCGGGACUUGGUUGACUUUUCCUUUACUGAGGGUCCCAACUUCAGUCAGUGCUUUUAGCGUUGUGGGCUCCAGAUCCUGCCACGUAUUCGUUAAGAUCCCAUCGGCCCUUCCAAGUUCCCGUGCGAAACCUCCGAAUCCCUCGUAAGCAUUCUGCUGGUUCAACUGGAACACCUUGAUGGUAUCUUCGAACCGUAGCGGGGUGCAACCCGGUAUUUUGAGAGGUUCGUGGUUGUACACGUGGGCGUCAAUGGUUGGUCUGUCCAUGGAAGGGUAAAAUAAGG